rnacentral:tRNA from 1 species
GAGACUUUAGUAAAAUAGCCAUUAUACUGCUUUGUCAAGGCAGAGUCGUGAGUUAAAACCCCACAUGUCUUA